rnacentral:rRNA from 1 species
CGAACGCUGGCGGCAGGCCUAACACAUGCAAGUCGAGCGCGCCCUUCGGGGUGAGCGGCGGACGGGUGAGUAACGCGUGGGAACGUGCCCUUUUCUACGGAAUAGCCUCGGGAAACUGAGAGUAAUACCGUAUACGCCCUUUGGGGGAAAGAUUUAUCGGAAAAGGAUCGGCCCGCGUUGGAUUAGGUAGUUGGUGGGGUAAUGGCCUACCAAGCCGACGAUCCAUAGCUGGUUUGAGAGGAUGAUCAGCCACACUGGGACUGAGACACGGCCCAGACUCCUACGGGAGGCAGCAGUGGGGAAUCUUAGACAAUGGGGGCAACCCUGAUCUAGCCAUGCCGCGUGAGUGAUGAAGGCCUUAGGGCUGUAAAGCUCUUUCAGCUGGGAAGAUAAUGACGGUACCAGCAGAAGAAGCCCCGGCUAACUCCGU